UGGUUACAUCUGCCAUAGAUGCAAAGUUCCUGGUCAUUUUAUCCAGCAUUGCCCCACAAAUGGUGACCCUAAUUAUGAAAUUAAAAGGGUGAAGCCACCUACUGGGAUUCCAAGAUCUAUGUUAAUGGCAACUCCAGAUGGAUCUUAUGCACUGCCAAGCGGCGCAGUUGCUGUCUUGAAGCCAAAUGAAGCUGCAUUUGAGAAAGAAAUUGAGGGGUUACCUUGUACUCGAUCUAUUAGUGAUCUUCCACCUGAAUUGCACUGCCCAUUGUGUAAUGAAGUAAUGAAGGAUGCUGUAUUAACCGGCAGAUGUUGUUUCAAGAGUUUCUGUGACA